GAUUGUGGCAUUCAGUAGAGAGUGUUUGUAUUUUUUCUUCUAAUAUUCAUAUGUUUUCACUGAUUUCUUUCAAUCUGGUUCCUUUUGCCAUUUCUUCUUUAACUUCACUCCAAUUUAGUAUUUUAUAAUGUUUGGAUUGGUUUUUGUUUUCGAUUACUAUUUUGCACUGUUUUGAAACUGUUUGAUGGUAAAAUUUUUACAACUCCUGGCUACAGUGAAUUCUAUCAGGGUGGCCGAUGAUGAUUUCAUGAGGCUAGAUUGCUGUUUCUAACUCGUUGGAACAAUAAUCACUAUUAAGAGACCCUGAUAUAUUCUUUAUCAUUUACCUCUGCUUCUACUGGAAGUAGAUUCAAAACAGUUUGGGAAUUACCUGAUAUUUCGGUAUCCUACUUGAUUGAAUUGAUUGUUCUGCUGCCAAUCUUCAGUUAAUAUGAGCUAUUAUUGUCUCUCUGAUGACCAUUUGCAAAAUCAGGUAGAAGUAAUUUGAUUGUUAUAGGUCUCUAUGUCCCAGGUCCAAGGCUCUAACUCUGGGCUUUGAUACCAAAUUUAUAAUAUCCCAGAUCUUUUGGUAAGAAUUUUUUUGGCUUCAGUUCCUGGUUGAUGCCGAUCUAAACCUGCAGAUAAGUGGUUUGAAUUUGAACUCUAGAACAGAGAAGAGUUAUGGAGGUGUUUUGAUUAGAUCUGGAGGAGAGAAAUAAGGAAUGAGGGAGAAAUUUUCAGA
rnacentral:lncRNA from 1 species